AGGCCCAGGAAGCACAGGUGGAAGCAAUUCACCUGUGCUUCCCAUGCGAUGCUGGGCUCAUUUAAGGGCUAGACUCCAAAGGGAGAGUGCUCCCUGGAUGAAAGGAUUGGCUUUGUUUUCAGAUCUUCGAAAGGCAUUGCUAUCACUAGCAAUCAAGACUCAGAACAAGCAGGAGAGGUGCUUAUCCACAGGUUUAGUUUGAAGGAGAGUAUAAAAAGGGAAUGUGGCAUUUUUAGUGAGAGCCGUUUGAAUUGGAAGACCAUUCCAGUGUUCAAAGUAAGUAGUUCCUGAUCAAGUGCCAGAAGAAGACACGAAGUUUGAGCUGCAUGCAAUUACCUACCUCAUUCCACAAAUGAUCUGCACCAGCUAGAAAAACAGAAUAUGUCUUUGCAGCUAUUUGGGGCUCCUCUGCAGAAACAGCGCAAAACUUUUCAGAGGAGUUACUAGCAACAAGAGCUUCACAUGGUGGAUGUAAAGGCAAUACAAACCCAUUAAGACUGGCGAGCACUGUUUACUAUUCAUGAAGUUCUCUCUGAAAGUGGUGAGCAUCAUUACACCUCUUCUAGAGGGAGAAACUUAAGCUGAGGAAGAUUAUAUGAUUUGAACAAGGUCAU